UACGGGGGGGUGCGAGCGUUGUCCGGAAUCAUUGGGCGUAAAGAGCGUGUAGGCGGCCAGAAAAGUCCGCUGUGAAAACUCGAGGCUCAACUUCGAGCUGUCGGUGGAAACUUUCUGGCUAGAGUCCGGAAGAGGAGAAUGGAAUUCCUGGUGUAGCGGUGAAAUGCGCAGAUAUCAGGAAGAACACCCGUGGCGAAGGCGGUUCUCUGGGACGGUACUGACGCUGGAGACGCGAAAGCGUGGGGAGCGAACAGG
rnacentral:rRNA from 1 species